GUAGGGAGCGAGCGUUGUCCGGAAUGACUGGGUGUAAAGGGAGCGUAGGCGGGAUGGCAAGUCAGAUGUGAAAACUGAGGGCUCAACCUUCAGACUGCAUUUGAAACUGCUGUUCUUGAGUGAGGUAGAGGUAAGCGGAAUUCCUGGUGUAGCGGUGAAAUGCGUAGAGAUCAGGAGGAACAUCGGUGGCGAAGGCGGCUUACUGGGUCUUUACUGACGCUGAGGCUCGAAAGCGUGGGGAGC
rnacentral:rRNA from 1 species